UAAAAGACCAACCCGCCAUUGAGAGCAGCAUCCAGUCAUUCUCUACAAUUUUUAAGUUGACCCGACCUCACUAGGGCAUGCGCUUAGGAGCGCCUAGCACCUUGGUGUGCCUGGCGACGCCUACGUGGGGCUCAAUGAGGUCAUGCGCCUUUGCCACUCUAAGGCGCUACCCUUCGCUCCCAGUGCACCUUGCAACUCAGAGGCGCGCCUUUAGUGACACUGAUAACUAGAUGUUGUUCUACUGCCCAAUGCAUUGCUUAGACUAGUAUUUCCAACAACAAACCAAAUGCAACUAGUAUACCACAUUAUUUUCGAACAUAGGCAAAAUCAAUAUAUGUUUAGACAAAACCAACUUGGGCACUUUAGCCAAUGAAAAGGUGCCAAGAAGUCCUAUACCAUACCUCAUUGUCACAUUAUUAAAUGCAACCAACCUAA
rnacentral:misc_RNA from 1 species